AGUUCCUAUACGUACGUUCUAAGAGUUUCGUUGUCUGUCACAGUCAACGGCAGUCUCUUAUCGGUCGAGCGUUUCCAAUCAAUUAGAAAACAAUAAUUUGAGUGGAAGCAGCAGUUCCAACCCAAGCGCAUAUGGACCAACACGUGACUACUAGUGCCGGUUCCGUUCGAUUCGUCAGCGUUUCGUCAAGACCGACGCAGAUAAGAUGAUCAGCUGACAGAUAAAGGCCCGAGAGGUUAACGGAAUG